AUACGGAGGAUCCGAGCGUUAUCCGGAUUUAUUGGGUUUAAAGGGUGCGCAGGCGGCCAUUUAAGUCAGCGGUUAAAUCGUGGGGCUCAACCCCAUUCUGCCGUUGAUACUGGGUGGCUUGAUUGCGGUCGAGGUUGGCGGAAUUCGUUGUGUAGCGGUGAAAUGCAUAGAUAUGACGAAGAACACCGAUUGCGUAGGCAGCUGACCAGACCGCAAAUGACGCUCAUGCACGAAAGUGCGGGGAUCGAAUAGGAUUAGAUACCCUGGUAGUCCGCACAGUAAACGAUGAAUACUUGUUUUCGGCGAUAUAAUGUCGGAGGCAAAGCGAAAGCGAUAAGUAUUCCACCUGGGGAGUACGCCGGCAACGGUGAAACUCAAAUGAAUUGACGGGG
rnacentral:rRNA from 1 species